CCCCUUUCUUUUCACUCUGAUCUGAAAUUACAACAGGCUGAGUGGAGCGGGAAUGAGCCUGUGUGUUGCUCAAGCUGUGAAGAGCCAAGUUACAGAAGAGGUAGAGGAAAUAUGACAGGGCUCAAACAACGGCUGCUGAAUUAUAAUAUUUCUGAAGGCCCUAAAGUAUGCUCUUUCUUCCCUCACCCCCUUGCCCCUGAGCCAGUCAGGGAUGAGACUGGCAGAGCACUACUACUACAUCCCUUCUGCUUUCUGUCAUAAACCUGGAACACUCUAGCAUGAUUAAAG
rnacentral:lncRNA from 1 species